rnacentral:rRNA from 1 species
AUUGAACGCUGGCGGCAUGCCUUACACAUGCAAGUCGAACGGUAACAGGUCUUCGGAUGCUGACGAGUGGCGAACGGGUGAGUAAUACAUCGGAACGUGCCUAGUAGUGGGGGAUAACUACUCGAAAGAGUGGCUAAUACCGCAUGAGAUCUACGGAUGAAAGCAGGGGAUCGCAAGACCUUGUGCUACUAGAGCGGCCGAUGGCAGAUUAGGUAGUUGGUGGGAUAAAAGCUUACCAAGCCGACGGUCUGUAGCUGGUCCGAGAGGACGAUCAGCCACACUGGGACUGAGACACGGCCCAGACUCCUACGGGAGGCAGCAGUGGGGAAUUUUGGACAAUGGGCGCAAGCCUGAUCCAGCAAUGCCGCGUGCAGGAUGAAGGCCUUCGGGUUGUAAACUGCUUUUGUACGGAACGAAAAGCCCUGGGUUAAUACCCUGGGGUCAUGACGGUACCGUAAGAAUAAGCACCGGCUAACUACGUGCCAGCAGCCGCGGUAACAC